rnacentral:rRNA from 1 species
UUCUUGAGUGUGUACUUGUUAAGCCUUGUAAGAAAAAAGUUAUUAACUUAGGGAAUUAUAACAAGAAAGUAACACGUAAUGGAUCCGUCCAUUUUUAGUGUGUAUCAAUCGAGUUUCUGACCUAUCAGCUUUUGAUGUUAGGGUAUUGGCCUAACAUGCUUAUGACGGGUAACGGGGAAUUAGAGUUCGAUUCCGGAGAGGGAGCCUGAGAAAUAGCUACCACAUCUAAGGAAGGCAGCAGGCGCGUAAAUUACCCAAUUCUAAAGAAGAGAGGUAGUGACAAGAAAUAACAAUACAAGGCCAAUCUGGCUUUGUAAUUGGAAUGAUGGGAAUUUAAAACCUUCCCAAAACUCAAUUGGAGGGCAAGUCUGGUGCCAGCAGCCGCGGUAAUUCCAGCUCCAAUAGCGUAUAUUAAAAUUGUUGCAGUUAAAACGCUCGUAGUUGAAUUUCAAAGAAUCGAUAUUUUAAGUAACGCUUUUAGCUUAAUCCACAUAACUGAUACUACGUAUCGACUUUGUGCGCAUUUUGCUAUUAUGUGUUCUUUUAAUUAAAAUGAUUCUUUUUAAGGUCUUUCUUUUGCUUCGGCAUUUGAAGAUCUUGUUACUUUGAGUAAAUUAGAGUGUUCAAAGCAAACAGAUAUAGCAUUGCGCGUUUGAAUACUACAGCAUGGAAUAACAAAAUUGAACAAGUCAGAAUUUUGUUCUUUUUUCUUAUUUUGGCUUAGUUACGAUUAAUAGGAGUAGCUUGGGGGCAUUUGUAUUCAGAUGUCAGAGGUGAAAUUCUUAGAUUUUCUGGAGACAAACAACUGCGAAAGCAUUUGCCUAAAAUACUUCCAUUAAUCAAGAACGAAAGUUAAGGGAGUGAAGACGAUCAGAUACCGUCGUAAUCUUAACCAUAAACUAUGCCGACUAGGC